UGCGUAGGUGGGUCUGUAAGUCAGUGGUGAAAUCUCCGAGCUUAACUCGGAAACUGCCAUUGAUACUAUAGGUCUUGAAUCAUCUGGAGGUAAGCGGAAUAUGUCAUGUAGCGGUGAAAUGCUUAGAUAUGACAUAGAACACCAAUUGCGAAGGCAGCUUACUACGGGUGUAUUGACACUGAGGCACGAAAGCGUGGGGAUCAAACA
rnacentral:rRNA from 1 species